UGCUCUUGACAUGUUAGGAAGACCUAAGAGAUUAGGUUGUGCCGCAAGGAACCUAAACAC
rnacentral:rRNA from 1 species